rnacentral:lncRNA from 1 species
UUACAAUAUAUAUUUAUUGAAUUAAUUGUAUAUUUGUGAUUUUUAGGGAGUUUUUUAUGACCAUGUUGAAAUCAACUUUUUCAUAAAUGGAAAGAAUGUUUUGUGUCCUGUCACUGGAGCUAAGGGCGAAGUUUUUCCCGUUUUGUAUGUUGAUGAUGGUGCAAUACUUGAUGCAGCUUUCGCCACAUUUACUCACCAGCCUCCAUCAGGAUUUGACAGAAUAAUGGUUGAAAAAUCCUUGUUGUAAUUUCAUCUACAAGAAAAGUCCUUUUCAGGAAUGAAGUAAAAAAACAUACACCUAAGGAGUAAAAAAAAAUUGAGAUUUAAGUUAGGUAAGAAGCAAAACCACCAUUUAAUAUUAUUCACUGUUAUGAGAGACAUUAUUAGAAAUAUUAAAACUUGUUUAAUUGCCUGCGGAAAUCAAGAGAAUUUGAAAAGUGAUUAUUCUAAACACUAUUAAGUUUCAGCUGACAAUCAAACGAAUUUCGACGUUCUUACACGGACAUUCCUCAAUAGUGAUUUGUUACAAUUUUUAGCUUGAGUAUUUAUUGACAACCCUAAUUUGUAUGUUUUUGUGAAGGAGUUUA